ensembl:misc_RNA Y_RNA Y RNA
GGCUGGUCCGAUGGUAGUGGGUUAUCAGAACUUAUUAACAUUAGUGUCACUAAAGUUGGUAUACCACCCCCCACUGCUAAAUUUGACUGGCUUUUU